ACUUUAUGAACUUUGGAAAUAUAAAAUCUAGUGAGCAAUACUAAGUAAUGAAAAAGAGAAGCUAAUAAGACAACUAAAAGUAUUAAAAAAAACCACAAAUGGACAAGUUUUAUUAAAGUUUUAUCUAUUAAUUAAUUUAAGUGUUAUAUUAUGUACCUGAAAAUGAAUGAUAAAUUUUUUUUGGGGAAAAUUGAUAAUGGGGAAUGAAGCAUUUUAUGAAUAAUGUAAAAAAUAAGACAAGUGGAGUAUGAAAUAAUGGUUGGUUAAGUAAUAUUACCUCAAGAACAGGAAACAGUAACUGAAACUAUGUUCUUCCACAUUUAAUCUUAAUAAGUUCAGCAGUUUGAAUGUUAAUGAGAUAUUAUUAUAAACAAACUGCAUUUGUAGAUUUUGGGAAGAAUUACAUCUUUA